rnacentral:rRNA from 1 species
GGUUAAGUUAGAAAGGGCGCACGGUGGAUGCCUUGGCACUAGGAGCCGAUGAAGGACGGGACGAACACCGAUAUGCUUCGGGGAGCUGUAAGCAAGCUUUGAUCCGGAGAUUUCCGAAUGGGGAAACCCACCACUCGUAAUGGAGUGGUAUCCAUAUCUGAAUACAUAGGAUAUGAGAAGGCAGACCCGGGGAACUGAAACAUCUAAGUACCCGGAGGAAGAGAAAGCAAAUGCGAUUCCCUGAGUAGCGGCGAGCGAAACGGGACCAGCCCAAACCAAGAGGCUUGCCUCUUGGGGUUGUAGGACACUCUGUACGGAGUUACAAAGGAACGAGGUAGAUGAAGAGGUCUGGAAAGGCCCGCCAUAGGAGGUAACAGCCCUGUAGUCAAAACUUCGUUCUCUCCUGAGUGGAUCCUGAGUACGGCGGAACACGUGAAAUUCCGUCGGAAUCCGGGAGGACCAUCUCCCAAGGCUAAAUACUCCCUAGUGACCGAUAGUGAACCAGUACCGUGAGGGAAAGGUGAAAAGCACCCCGGAAGGGGAGUGAAAGAGAUCCUGAAACCGUGUGCCUACAAGUAGUCAGAGCCCGUUAACGGGUGAUGGCGUGCCUUUUGUAGAAUGAACCGGCGAGUUACGAUCCCGUGCAAGGUUAAGCAGAAGAUGCGGAGCCGCAGCGAAAGCGAGUCUGAAUAGGGCGAAUUGAGUACGUGGUCGUAGACCCGAAACCAGGUGAUCUACCCAUGUCCAGGGUGAAGUUCAGGUAACACUGAAUGGAGGCCCGAACCCACGCACGUUGAAAAGUGCGGGGAUGAGGUGUGGGUAGGGGUGAAAUGCCAAUCGAACCUGGAGAUAGCUGGUUCUCUCCGAAAUAGCUUUAGGGCUAGCCUCAAGGUAAGAGUCUCGGAGGUAGAGCACUGAUUGGACUAGGGGCCCCUACCGGGUUACCGAAUUCAGUCAAACUCCGAAUGCCGAUGACUUAUCCUUGGGAGUCAGACUGCGAGUGAUAAGAUCCGUAGUCGAAAGGGAAACAGCCCAGACCGCCAGCUAAGGUCCCAAAGUAUACGUUAAGUGGAAAAGGAUGUGGAGUUGCUUAGACAACCAGGAUGUUGGCUUAGAAGCAGCCACCAUUUAAAGAGUGCGUAAUAGCUCACUGGUCGAGUGACUCUGCGCCGAAAAUGUACCGGGGCUAAACGUAUCACCGAAGCUGCGGACUGUUCUUCGAACAGUGGUAGGAGAGCGUUCUAAGGGCUGUGAAGCAAGACCGGAAGGACUUGUGGAGCGCUUAGAAGUGAGAAUGCCGGUAUGAGUAGCGAAAGAGGGGUGAGAAUCCCCUCCACCGAAUGCCUAAGGUUUCCUGAGGAAGGCUCGUCCGCUCAGGGUUAGUCGGGACCUAAGCCGAGGCCGAAAGGCGUAGGCGAUGGAUAACAGGUUGAUAUUCCUGUACCACCUCCUCACCAUUUGAGCAAUGGGGGGACGCAGGAGGAUAGGGUAAGCGCGGUAUUGGAUAUCCGCGUCCAAGCAGUUAGGCUGGGAAAUAGGCAAAUCCGUUUCCCGUGAAGGCUGAGCUGUGAUGGCGAGCGAAUUAUAGUAGCGAAGUUCCUGAUUCCACACUGCCAAGAAAAGCCUCUAGCGAGGUGAGAGGUGCCCGUACCGCAAACCGACACAGGUAGGCGAGGAGAGAAUCCUAAGGUGAUCGAGAGAACUCUCGUUAAGGAACUCGGCAAAAUGACCCCGUAACUUCGGGAGAAGGGGUGCUCUGUUAGGGUGCAAGCCCGAGAGAGCCGCAGUGAAUAGGCCCAGGCGACUGUUUAGCAAAAACACAGGUCUCUGCGAAGCCGUAAGGCGAAGUAUAGGGGCUGACGCCUGCCCGGUGCUGGAAGGUUAAGAGGAGCGCUUAGCGUAAGCGAAGGUGCGAAUUGAAGCCCCAGUAAACGGCGGCCGUAACUAUAACGGUCCUAAGGUAGCGAAAUUCCUUGUCGGGUAAGUUCCGACCCGCACGAAAGGCGCAACGAUCUGGGCACUGUCUCAACGAGAGACUCGGUGAAAUUAUAGUACCUGUGAAGAUGCAGGUUACCCGCGACAGGACGGAAAGACCCCGUGGAGCUUUACUGCAGCCUGAUAUUGAAUGUUGGUACAGCUUGUACAGGAUAGGUAGGAGCCUUGGAAACCGGAGCGCCAGCUUCGGUGGAGGCAUCGGUGGGAUACUACCCUGGCUGUAUUGACCUUCUAACCCGCCGCCCUUAUCGGGCGGGGAGACAGUGUCAGGUGGGCAGUUUGACUGGGGCGGUCGCCUCCUAAAAGGUAACGGAGGCGCCCAAAGGUUCCCUCAGAAUGGUUGGAAAUCAUUCGCAGAGUGUAAAGGCACAAGGGAGCUUGACUGCGAGACCUACAAGUCGAGCAGGGACGAAAGUCGGGCUUAGUGAUCCGGUGGUUCCGCAUGGAAGGGCCAUCGCUCAACGGAUAAAAGCUACCCCGGGGAUAACAGGCUUAUCUCCCCCAAGAGUCCACAUCGACGGGGAGGUUUGGCACCUCGAUGUCGGCUCAUCGCAUCCUGGGCUGUAGUCGGUCCCAAGGGUUGGGCUGUUCGCCCAUUAAAGCGGUACGCGAGCUGGGUUCAGAACGUCGUGAGACAGUUCGGUCCCUAUCCGUCGCGGGCGCAGGAAAUUUGAGAGGAGCUGUCCUUAGUACGAGAGGACCGGGAUGGACGCACCGCUGGUGUACCAGUUGUUCUGCCAAGGGCAUCGCUGGGUAGCUAUGUGCGGACGGGAUAAGUGCUGAAAGCAUCUAAGCAUGAAGCCCCCCUCAAGAUGAGAUUUCCCAUUCCGCAAGGAAGUAAGAUCCCUGAAAGAUGAUCAGGUUGAUAGGUCUGAGGUGGAAGUGUGGCGACACAUGGAGCUGACAGAUACUAAUCGAUCGAGGACUUAACCAA